GAAAUUUGUGAUAAAAGUUUAAUUUGGGCAGAACAUUGAACUGUUUUUGAAAUUCACUUUUUAGAAUUCUCCUUUUUGCAUAUUAUUAUUUUUUACUUCCUCUAUAUCAAACUGUCUCAUUCUAAGAAUCCAUAAACUGGACACUCAAGGGUAUGAGAAUCAUUUUCCUUUGCCUUUGGCUAUCUUUCCUAAAUAAUGCCUUUCAAAUUCUACCUUUUAAUUCAAAGAGCUGUAUUUCUAUAUACUAGUUAGAUAAUGAUUCUUUUUUUUUUUUUUUACAUUUUAAAAAAUUCGUGUUUUUCUUAACUGAGAUUGUCUUGAGUCUUUGCUGUUUGGAUCUUGAACUGUUUUCGGGUCUUCUUCCCCACUUUUUCAUGAUAUUACCCUUCAAUUUUUGCCCUAGCCCCUAUCAUGUGUGGCAACUUGUCUGCAAAUAUGGCUGCAAUAAUUCUCCACAGACCUGUACAAAUACUUUCUACAAUGUGA
rnacentral:lncRNA from 1 species